UGGGUAACCUGCCUCAAAGAGGGGAAUAGCCUCCCGAAAGGGAGAUUAAUACCGCAUAAUAUGUUUAAGUCGCAUGACUUUAACAUCAAAGGAUUUUCUUUUAGAACUUCCACUUCGAGAUGGACCCGCGGCGCAUUAGCUAGUUGGUGAGGUAACGGCUCACCAAGGCAACGAUGCGUAGCCGACCUGAGAGGGUGAUCGGCCACAUUGGAACUGAGACACGGUCCAGACUCCGUAGGGAG
rnacentral:rRNA from 1 species